AUCCAGCUGACGAGUUCCGAACAGAACGAAACGCACAUCAAACUGGAU
rnacentral:hammerhead_ribozyme from 1 species